UACGUAGGCGGCAAGCGUUGUCCGGAAUUAUUGGGCGUAAAGGGAGCGCAGGCGGGAAACUAAGCGGAUCUUAAAAGUGCGGGGCUCAACCCCGUGAUGGGGUCCGAACUGGUUUUCUUGAGUGCAGGAGAGGAAAGCGGAAUUCCCAGUGUAGCGGUGAAAUGCGUAGAUAUUGGGAAGAACACCAGUGGCGAAGGCGGCUUUCUAGACUGUAACUGACGCUGAGGCUCGAAAGCUAGGGUAGCGAACGGG
rnacentral:rRNA from 1 species